rnacentral:rRNA from 1 species
AUGAACCGGCUCAGGAGAAGGCUGCAGCCUAGGGGGGGUACUGGUGAGGCUCAAUCAAGCACUGCCCAUGCGAUUGUUCCAAACCAUGUGAUGGUGCAUGUGAGAGGCGACUACCUCAGAGCAGAACUCUCUCAAAUAGAGGCCCAGGCAAAAGCAGAUCUUGAAUACGCACAAAUCCAUGGAAUUCUCCCAUACAGAGGAGGAACAUCGGCUACUGAUACAGGUGUUGUCGACGAGGAGAGGCGUGAGCGUGUACGGAGCUUAUCUGCAGCUACUCUGGUUGUGGUUGAGCAAGCUAUGGAGAAUCCAGAACUUUUUGAAGGCAUAUUUGAUCAGGCUAGGCAAGUGCUAACAACCCUCGGGGUGCAAGGUUACAACACAGGUAUCAGUACAAAACCAAAACUAAGUGCGCUGGCUACUUAG